UACGUAGGGGGCUAGCGUUGUCCGGAAUCAUUGGGCGUAAAGCGCGUGUAGGCGGUUCGGUAAGUCGGCUGUGAAAGUCAAGGGCUCAACCCUUGAAUGCCGGUUGAUACUGUCGGGCUAGAGUCCGGAAGAGGCGAGUGGAAUUCCCGGUGUAGCGGUGAAAUGCGCAGAUAUCGGGAGGAACACCAAUGGCGAAGGCAGCUCGCUGGGACGGUACUGACGCUGAGACGCGAAAGCGUGGGGAGCAAACAGG
rnacentral:rRNA from 1 species